CGGCUCCUCAUCAGAAUCAGACGAGUCGUCCUCUGAGCUGCUGCUGCUGCUACUUACUGGCUUCUUCUUUGAAGGGGCAGCAACACCAUUGGCCUUUUUAGAGGACAAUGUGUCUUUCUUUGAAGAGGGAAUAACUUUAGGAGCAGGUUCCGUCUCUUCUUCAGAAGAGGAAUCUUCCUCGGAACUACUAGUCUCCACCUUCUUCUUCUUUUGUGUUUUUGCUUCGAUCUUCUGUUUC
rnacentral:misc_RNA from 1 species